UUGGCCUCGGAUCAGGUGGGAUACCCGCUGAACUUAA
rnacentral:rRNA from 1 species